ACCCUCCUGUUCCCUUUCCCAUCGGAUCUGAACACUGGUCUUGGUGGUCGUAAAGGGAGGGAUAGUAACACUGAAGCUGGCCUCACAGGGCUCCUUGGUUCUGCCAUGUAGCACAUGGGCUAGUUUCAAACAAAC
ensembl:snoRNA SNORA61 small nucleolar RNA, H/ACA box 61